UACGUAGGGGGCAAGCGUUGUCCGGAAUCAUUGGGCGUAAAGCGCGUGUAGGCGGCUGAGUAAGUCUGCUCUGAAAGCCCGGGGCUCAACCCCGGGAGGCGGGUGGAUACUGCUCAGCUCGAGUCCGGAAGAGGAGUGUGGAAUUCCUGGUGUAGCGGUGAAAUGCGCAGAUAUCAGGAGGAACACCAAUGGCGAAGGCAGCACUCUGGGACGGUACUGACGCUGAGGAGCGAAAGCAUGGGGAGCGAACAGG
rnacentral:rRNA from 1 species